rnacentral:rRNA from 1 species
CAUGCAGUCGAACGGGAUCUUCGGAUCUGUGGCGGACGGGUGAGUAACGCGUGAGAAUCUGGCUUCAGGUCGGGGACAACCACGGGAAACUGUGGCUAAUACCGGAUAUGCCGAGAGGUGAAAGGCUUGCUGCCUGAAGAUGAGCUCCCGUCUGAUUAGCUAGUAGGUGUGGUAAAAGCGCACCUAGGCCACGAUUAGUAGCUGGUCUGAGAGGAUGAUCAGCCACACUGGGACUGAGACACGGCCCAGACUCCUACGGGAGGCAGCAGUGGGGAAUUUUCCGCAAUGGGCGAAAGCCUGACGGAGCAAUACCGCGUGAGGGAGGAAGGCUCUUGGGUUGUAAACCUCUUUUCUCAGGGAAGAAAAAAAUGACGGUACCUGAGGAAUAAGCAUCGGCUAACUCCGUGCCAGCAGCCGCGGUAAUACGGAGGAUGCAAGCGUUAUCCGGAAUGAUUGGGCGUAAAGGGUCCGCAGGUGGCUAUGUAAGUCUGCUGUUAAAGAACCUAGCUUAACUAGGUAAAAGCAGUGGAAACUACAAGGCUAGAGUGCGUUCGGGGUAGAGGGAAUUCCUGGUGUAGCGGUGAAAUGCGUAGAUAUCAGGAAGAACACCAGUGGCGAAGGCGCUCUACUAGGCCGCAACUGACACUGAGGGACGAAAGCUAGGGGAGCGAAUGGGAUUAGAUACCCCAGUAGUCCUAGCCGUAAACGAUGGAUACUAGGCGUGGCUUGUAUCGACCCAAGCCGUGCCGGAGCUAACGCGUUAAGUAUCCCGCCUGGGGGAGUACGCACGCAAGUGUGAAACUCAAAGGAAUUGACGGGGGCCCGCACAAGCGGUGGAGUAUGUGGUUUAAUUCGAUGCAACGCGAAGAACCUUACCAAGACUUGACACGUCGCGGAUCUUCUUGAAAGGGAAGAGUGCCUUCGGGAGCGCGAACACAGGUGGUGCAUGGCCGUCGUCAGCUCGUGUCGUGAGAUGUUGGGUUAAGUCCCGCAACGAGCGCAACCCUCGUUUUUAGUUGCCAGCAUUAAGUUGGGCACUCUAGAGAGACUGCCGGUGACAAACCGGAGGAAGGUGGGGAUGACGUCAAGUCAGCAUGCCCCUUACGUCUUGGGCUACACACGUACUACAAUGCUACGGACAAAGGGUAGCUACACAGCAAUGUGAUGCCAAUCUCAGAAACCGUAGCUCAGUUCAGAUCGCAGGCUGCAACUCGCCUGCGUGAAGUCGGAAUCGCUAGUAAUUGCAGGUCAGCAUACUGCAGUGAAUUCGUUCCCGCGCCUUGUACACACCGCCCGUCACCCCAUGGAAGCUGGUCACGCCCGAAGUCGUUA